rnacentral:rRNA from 1 species
CCAAUAGCGUAUAUUAAAGUUGCUGCAGUUAAAAAGCUCGUAGUUGAAUUUCGGGACCAUCAUGUCGGUCGUGCCUCGGUACGUACUGGCAUUGUUGGUUUCUCCCUUCUGACGAACCAUGAUGUCAUUUAUUUGGUGUUGUGGGGAAUCAGGACUGUUACUUUGAAAAAAUUAGAGUGUUUAAAGCAGGCUCACGCUUGAAUACAUUAGCAUGGAAUAAUGAAAUAGGACGUUUGAUUCUAUUUUGUUGGUUUCUAGGAUCGACGUAAUGAUUAAUAGGGAUAGUUGGGGGCAUUAGUAUUCAAUUGUCAGAGGUGAAAUUCUUGGAUUUAUUGAAGACUAACUACUGCGAAAGCAUUUGCCAAGGAUGUUUUCAUUAAUCAAGAACGAAAGUUAGGGGAUCGAAGACGACCAGAUACCGUCGUAGUCUUAACCAUAAACUAUGCCGACUAGGGAUCGGAUGAUGUUAAUUUUUUAAUGACUCAUUCGGCGCCUUACG